rnacentral:ncRNA from 3 species
GUCCUGGGAACUCCAACAAGGGAGCAAAUCAGAGAAAUGAACCCAAACUACACAGAAUUUAAAUUCCCUCAAAUUAAGGCACAUCCUUGGACUAAGGUCUUCCGACCCCGAACUCCACCGGAGGCAAUUGCACUGUGUAGCCGUCUGCUGGAGUAUACACCAACUGCCCGACUAACACCACUGGAAGCUUGUGCACAUUCAUUUUUUGAUGAAUUACGGGACCCAAAUGUCAAACUACCAAAUGGGCGAGACACACCUGCACUCUUCAACUUCACCACUCAAGAUGCUAAUACUGGAGACCGUGGACAGACCAAUAAUGCUGCUUCUGCAUCAGCUUCCAACUCCACCUGAACAGUCCCGAGCAGCCAGCUGCACAGGAAAAACCACCAGUUACUUGAGUGUCACUCAGCAACACUGGUCACGUUUGGAAAGAAUAUU